ACAACUGAUAAAAAUCAUUGCUUUGGACGAUGCAUAUGUAGAAAGCCUAAUUUUGUUUUCUUUUUCUAGUAUUUACUAGUAGAUUUGAUUUUUCUUUUCUUCUUUCUAUAGUGGAGAUAGUCGCACAAGGGGGAUCAAUUCCU